GGAGGAUGGGCAGGACGGUAAUGCGUUGGUUUCGAAAACCAAUGAGCGUAAGCUCUAACAGGUUCGACCCCUGUAUCCUCCGCCA
rnacentral:tRNA from 5 species